rnacentral:rRNA from 1 species
AGAGUUUGAUCAUGGCUCAGAACGAACGCUGGCGGCAGGCUUAACACAUGCAAGUCGAACGCAUCCUUCGGGAUGAGUGGCAGACGGGUGAGUAACGCGUGGGAACGUGCCCUUCAGUUCGGAAUAACCCAGGGAAACUUGGGCUAAUACCGGAUACGUGCGAGAGCAGAAAGAUUUAUCGCUGAAGGAUCGGCCCGCGUCUGAUUAGCUAGUUGGUGGGGUAAUGGCCCACCAAGGCGACGAUCAGUAGCUGGUCUGAGAGGAUGAUCAGCCACAUUGGGACUGAGACACGGCCCAAACUCCUACGGGAGGCAGCAGUGGGGAAUAUUGGACAAUGGGCGCAAGCCUGAUCCAGCCAUGCCGCGUGAGUGAUGAAGGCCUUAGGGUUGUAAAGCUCUUUCAGUGGGGACGAUAAUGACGGUACCCGCAGAAGAAGCCCCGGCUAACUUCGUGCCAGCAGCCGCGGUAAUACGAAGGGGGCUAGCGUUGUUCGGAAUCACUGGGCGUAAAGGGCGCGUAGGCGGCUUUGUAAGUCGGGGGUGAAAGCCUGUGGCUCAACCACAGAAUUGCCUUCGAUACUGCAUGGCUUGAGACCGGAAGAGGUUAGUGGAACUGCGAGUGUAGAGGUGAAAUUCGUAGAUAUUCGCAAGAACACCAGUGGCGAAGGCGGCUGACUGGUCCGGUUCUGACGCUGAGGCGCGAAAGCGUGGGGAGCAAACAGGAUUAGAUACCCUAGUAGUCC